AGGGUUUGAUCAUGGCUCAGAACGUACGCUGGCGGCACGCCUAACACAUGCAAGUCGAACGAAGUAGCAAUACUUAGUGGCAGACGGGUGAGUAACAUGUAGGUAUCUACCCUUUGGCCUGGAAUAACACGAGGAAACUUGUGCUAAUACCGGAUAAGUCUUUACGGAGAAAGCUUUAUGCACCAUUGGAUGAGCCUGCACUUGAUUAGCUUGUUGGUAAGGUAAUGGCUUACCAAGGCUUUGAUCAAUAGCUGAUUUGAGAGGAUGAUCAGCCACAUUGGGACUGAGACACGGCCCAAACUCCUACGGGAGGCAGCAGUGGGGAAUCUUGCACAAUGGAGGAAACUCUGAUGCAGCGAUGCCGCGUGAGUGAAGAAGGCCUUUGGGUUGUAAAGCUCUUUCGUCGGGGAAGAAAAUGACUGUACCCGAAUAAGAAGGUCCGGCUAACUUCGUGCCAGCAGCCGCGGUAAUACGAAGGGACCUAGCGUAGUUCGGAAUUACUGGGCUUAAAGAGUUCGUAGGUGGUUGAAAAAGUUGGUGGUGAAAUCCCAGAGCUUAACUCUGGAACUGCCAUCAAAACUUUUCAGCUAGAGUUUGAUAGAGGAAAGCAGAAUUUCUAGUGUAGAGGUGAAAUUCGUAGAUAUUAGAAAGAAUACCAAUUGCGAAGGCAGCUUUCUGGAUCAUUACUGACACUGAGGAACGAAAGCAUGGGUAGCGAAGAGGAUUAGAUACCCUCGUAGUCCAUGCCGUAAACGAUGUGUGUUAGACGUUGGAAAUUUAUUUUCAGUGUCGCAGCGAAAGCGAUAAACACACCGCCUGGGGAGUACGACCGCAAGGUUAAAACUCAAAUGAAUUGACGGGGACCCGCACAAGUAGUGGAGCAUGUGGUUUAAUUCGAAGAUACGCGCAGAACCUUACCAACACUUGACAUGUUCGUCGCGACUUUAAGAGAUUAAAGUUUUCGGUUCGGCCGGACGAAACACAGGUGCUGCAUGGCUGUCGUCAGCUCGUGUCGUGAGAUGUUGGGUUAAGUCCCGCAACGAGCGCAACCCUCACUUUUAGUUGCCAUCAUUAAGUUGGGCACUCUGAAAGAACUGCCAGUGAUAAGCUGGAGGAAGGUGGGGAUGACGUCAAGUCCUCAUGGCCCUUACGUGUUGGGCUACACACGUGCUACAAUGGUAUUUACAAAAGGAAGCAAGACGGCGACGUUAAGCAAAUCCUUAAAAAAUACCUCAGUUCGGAUUGCACUCUGCAACUCGAGUGCAUGAAGCUGGAAUUACUAGUAAUCGUGGAUCAGCGUGCCACGGUGAAUGCGUUCCCGGGUCUUGUACACACCGCCCGUCACACCAUGGGAGUUGGUUCUACCUUAAGGCAAGGUUUAAAACCCUUGACCACGGUAUAGUCAGCGACUGGGGUGAAGUCAUAACAAGGUAACCGUA
rnacentral:rRNA from 1 species